rnacentral:lncRNA from 1 species
GAACCUCUCGCUUUAGAUUGUUCGGGGUGGGAUAGCGAGGGGUUGUAUUUGUUAACUCACUCGUCACUCGUUGUUGUUUUCAGGUGACCAGUAGUGAGCUCGUAGAAGGCGCGGGAGGCUAGGCUGGCUGGUGUAGAUUUGCAUCUUUUUGCUUAAGACGCUUUCAGAAUAUAAGUAUGUACUUUUGCUUUCUUGGCAUGCCACCACUUGUAUAAUAUUUUGUGUAUUGUAAACCAGAUAUUAUAUAAGAUAAAUAAAGUGAAUGUUUUGUGAAAAUGCCUUGUUGUUCUGAUAUUAGCUUGUCCGAGCUAACACAACG